rnacentral:rRNA from 1 species
ACACAUGCAAGUCGAGGGGUAACAGGGAGAAGCUUGCUUUUCUGCUGACGACCGGCGAACGGGUGCGUAACGCGUAUAGAAUCUGCCUUGUACAGGAGGAUAGCCUUUAGAAAUGAAGAUUAAUACUCCAUAGUGUAGGGAAGUGGCAUCACUAUCUUACUAAAGAUUUAUUGGUACAAGAUGACUAUGCGUCCUAUUAGUUAGAUGGUAAGGUAACGGCUUACCAUGGCUACGAUAGGUAGGGGGUCUGAGAGGACUAUCCCCCACACUGGUACUGAGACACGGACCAGACUCCUACGGGAGGCAGCAGUGAGGAAUAUUGGUCAAUGGAGGCAACUCUGAACCAGCCAUGCCGCGUGCAGGAAGACUGCCCUAUGGGUUGUAAACUGCUUUUAUACGGGAAGAAACAACUCUACGUGUAGAGUCUUGACGGUACCGUAAGAAUAAGCACCGGCUAACUCCGUGCCAGCAGCCGCGGUAAUACGGAGGGUGCAAGCGUUAUCCGGAAUCAUUGGGUUUAAAGGGUCCGCAGGCGGUCGAUUAAGUCAGAGGUGAAAUCCCAUAGCUUAACUAUGGAACUGCCUUUGAUACUGGUUGACUUGAGUUAUACGGAAGUAGGUAGAAUAAGUAGUGUAGCGGUGAAAUGCAUAGAUAUUACUUAGAAUACCGAUUGCGAAGGCAGCCUACUACGUAUAUACUGACGCUCAUGGACGAAA